rnacentral:rRNA from 1 species
CCUACGGGUGGCUGCAGUGGGGAAUAUUGGACAAUGGGGGCAACCCUGAUCCAGCCAUGCCGCGUGUGUGAAGAAGGCCCUCGGGUUGUAAAGCACUUUCAGUGAGGAAGAACGCCUGGUGGUUAAUACCCAUCAGGAAAGACAUCACUCACAGAAGAAGCACCGGCUAACUCCGUGCCAGCAGCCGCGGUAAUACGGAGGGUGCGGGCGUUAAUCGGAAUUACUGGGCGUAAAGCGCGCGUAGGUGGCUUGAUAAGCCGGUUGUGAAAGCCCCGGGCUCAACCUGGGAACGGCAUCCGGAACUGUCAAGCUAGAGUGCAGGAGAGGAAGGUAGAAUUCCCGGUGUAGCGGUGAAAUGCGUAGAGAUCGGGAGGAAUACCAGUGGCGAAGGCGGCCUUCUGGACUGACACUGACACUGAGGUGCGAAAGCGUGGGUAGCAAACAGGAUUAGAUACCCGUGUAGUC